rnacentral:rRNA from 1 species
GACGUGAGGGGCGAAGCGUGGGGAGCAACAGAUAGAUACCUGUAGUCCCGCGUAAACGAUGAUGUAGCGUCGGGCAGUAUACUGUUCGGUGGCGCAGCUAACGCAUUAACAUUCCGCCUGGGGAGUACGGUCGCAAGAUUAAACUCAAAGGAAUUGACGGGGCCCGCACAAGCGGUGGAGCACGUGGUUUAAUUCGAAGCAACGCGCAGAACCUUACCAGCUCUUGACAUUCGGGGUAUGGGCAUUGGAGACGAUGUCCUUCAGUUAGGCUGGCCCCAGAACAGGUGCUGCAUGGCUGUCGUCAGCUCGUGUCGUGAGAUGUUGGGUUAAGUCCCGCAACGAGCGCAACCCUCGCCCUUAGUUGCCAGCAUUUAGUUGGGCACUCUAAGGGGACUGCCGGUGAUAAGCCGAGAGGAAGGUGGGGAUGACGUCAAGUCCUCAUGGCCCUUACGGGCUGGGCUACACACGUGCUACAAUGGUGGUGACAGUGGGCAGCGAGACAGCGAUGUCGAGCUAAUCUCCAAAAGCCAUCUCAGUUCGGAUUGCACUCUGCAACUCGAGUGCAUGAAGUUGGAAUCGCUAGUAAUCACAGAUCAGCAUGCUGCGGUGAAUACGUUCCCGGGCCUUGUACACACCGCCCGUCACACCAUGGGAGUUGGUUCUACCCGAAGGUAGUGCGCUAACCGCAAGGAGGCAGCUAACCACGGUAGGGUCAGCGACUGGGGUGAAGUCGUAACAAGGUAGCCGUA